rnacentral:miRNA from 1 species
UGAGAUCAGAAAGAUGUGCG